GAUGAACGCUGGCUACAGGCUUAACACAUGCAAGUCGAGGGGCAGCAUGGACAUAGCUUGCUAUGUUUGAUGGCGACCGGCGCACGGGUGCGUAACACGUAUCCAAUCUGCCCGUUACUCGGGGAUAGCCUUCUGAAAGGAAGAUUAAUACCCGAUGGCAUUCAUUAGCGGCACCGCUUAUGAAUUAAAGAUUUAUCGGUAACGGAUGAGGAUGCGUACGGUUAGCUUGUUGGCGGGGUAACGGCCCACCAAGGCGACGAUCGUUAGGGGUUCUGAGAGGAAGGUCCCCCACACUGGAACUGAGACACGGUCCAGACUACUACGGGAGGCAGCAGUGAGGAAUAUUGGUCAAUGGUCGGAAGACUGAACCAGCCAAGUAGCGCGAAGGAUGACUGCCCUACGGGUUGUAAACUUCUUUUGUUUGGGAAUAAAAGACGCUACGUGUAGCGUUCUGCGUGUACCUUACGAAUAAGCAUCGGCUAAUUCCGUGCCAGCCGCCGCAGUAACAC
rnacentral:rRNA from 1 species